GAGCAAAGUCUGUCCUGGUAGGGAACUCCUCUCAACCUGCCAUCCAACACUGCAGAAGGAAAAACGUUUAGUCUGGCUUUGGUGAAAAGCCUUCGAUAAUUUGGUACUGUCAAGGCUGCCUCAGGUCUCAGCUCACAAAAGACCAACGCCAAUCUCUUCUUACAUACAAAAGUGUUUAUUGCAGUUCAUUGUUUGCUUCAUAUCCGAGGCGCGCAGCCUCACGUCUGUACGCUUAGACCGUUGAAGUUCCCUCUGAGUCAGUCCCUCCCCUGCACCAGUUUAAGAGCCUUGCGCUGCUCCACCUCUUUCUCUCUUUCCUUUUCCUCAGGGUCUUCCUGCCCGCUGGGGUUUCGCCCCUCCUGGAUUCCCCUGACGCGCUAUCCCCCGACUGCUCUUCCCCCCUCCUGCGGGCUUUAGGACCUGGCCCUUCCUCCGGGCUUCCUGUACUUCUGCGCGCCUCUACAUUUGAACUUGGCGCGCGCGCCCAACCUCUAACUUUCCUUUUGACAGUUACACUACUCCCUUCACUACUCCCCUCCCCGUCCGGGAGGAUGGCUUGCUCCGACCUCCCUCCCUUCUCUGCUGCCGGAGCUGCUUCCCCUGAUACACUGGAACCUCCACCGCCUUCGCUGCACUCUGGCGGGGAGGCUGGUCCUGACGCCCAGCUGCCACUUUGGGAUCCCCCGCUGGCCCCCUGUUCCUGACACGUCCCCCUGGGGCUCCCUGGCCUUGACCACUGGCGCCCCCUCUGGGAAUCCUCUGAUUCGCUGGAAAGACUCAUGGAAUCUCUUGAGUCAUUGUCAUCCUCUUCCUCGCUGUCCUGGGAUUCACCCCCAUCGCUCUCCAUCUCCUCCCUACCCUGUGCCUCUGUCCCUGAACCCCUGACAGGUACUUUCUGGUUUUUAAUGUAAGAUGUUAAUUUAAAGACAUGCCCAUAUCGUACUCCUACUGCCAGCGGACUACAGACUUCGUGUGAUUGAGAUCGCAAGUCACUGUACAUUAUCCUAUUCUUAUUUCAGUUUGUAUCCUUCCCUUCAUAAGAAGCUUGUUUUGCAACACUUUUUCCUCCCCUGGGGGAAGGCAUCCACAGUUUCGCUCUUGCAACAGCCAUGCAUUUACUCACGCUGCAGGCCGAAGCCAUGUCGUUGGGGUGGCCAUUAGGAAAAGACUUGGCAAGGAAAUGCAACGGGGGGGGGCUGUCUUACCCACCCAAUCCCAUGCCUCCCAUUUUUCUCAUGUGCUCACUGGGGCAUGGAGUUGCUUUGUCCAGAGGGGGAUUUGCAUUUGCGGGAUCGCCAACUGUUUUAAAAGCAGUGGGUUUCUUGAGAGCUGCAGUGGCUAUUGAAUCUUUUACACUGCUGCUCCUUUGUUGCAGCUGAGAACCUGUUUGUUGCUGUACAGAGAAGAACCAGCAGUUUCUGUAGAACUUGACCAGCUUUCUUUCUAUAAUAAUAAUAACAAAUUUGUACAAAGAGAACCCAGUGGGCUGUAAAAUGCCGUGCAUUGAGCUCAAGAGCAGCUGUUACCCAG